rnacentral:rRNA from 2 species
AAAGAAACCAACAGGGAUUGCCCUAGUAACGGCGAGUGAAGCGGCAACAGCUCAAAUUUGAAAUCUGGCUUCGGCCCGAGUUGUAAUUUGCAGAGGAAGCUUUAGGCGCGGCACUUUCUGAGUCCCCUGGAACGGGGCGCCAUAGAGGGUGAGAGCCCCGUAUAGUUAGAUGCCUAGCCUGUGUAAAGCUCCUUCGACGAGUCGAGUAGUUUGGGAAUGCUGCUCAAAAUGGGAGGUAAAUUUCUUCUAAAGCUAAAUACCGGCCAGAGACCGAUAGCGCACAAGUAGAGUGAUCGAAAGAUGAAAAGCACUUUGAAAAGAGGGUUAAAUAGCACGUGAAAUUGUUGAAAGGGAAGCGCUUGUGACCAGACUUGCGCCGGGCAGAUCAUCCGGUGUUCUCACCGGUGCACUCUGCCCGGCUCAGGCCAGCAUCGGUUCUCGCGGGGGGAUAAAGGCCCUGGGAACGUAGCUCCUCCGGGAGUGUUAUAGCCCGGGGCGUAAUGCCCUCGCGGGGACCGAGGUUCGCGCAUCUGCAAGGAUGCUGGCGUA